rnacentral:tRNA from 4 species
UGCGGGGUGGAGCAGCCUGGUAGCUCGUCGGGCUCAUAACCCGAAGGUCAUCGGUUCAAAUCCGGUCCCCGCUA